GUCAAGCCUGGCCCACCUUAGGAAGCCCCUUUCCUUCAGUUGCUUACUUCUGGACACCAGUCAUAAUGGAUUGAGGCUCAUCCUAUGACAGUAUGACGGUGGCUGAACUUAUUCCAUCUGCAACGAACCUGUUUCCAACUUCCUUAGUGCA